GCGACGAUGCAUAGCCGAGUUGAGAGACUGAUCGGCCACAUUGGGACUGAGACACGGCCCAAACUCCUACGGGAGGCAGCAGUAGGGAAUCUUCCACAAUGGGCGAAAGCCUGAUGGAGCAACGCCGCGUGAGUGAAGAAGGUUUUCGGAUCGUAAAGCUCUGUUGUUGGUGAAGAAGGAUAGAGGUAGUAACUGGCCCCUAUUUGACGGUAAUCAACCAGAAAGUCACGGCUAACUACGUGCCAGCAGCCGCGGUAAUACGUAGGUGGCAAGCGUUGUCCGGAUUUAUUGGGCGUAAAGCGAGCGCAGGCGGAAAGAUAAGUCUGAUGUGAAAGCCCCCGGCUUAACCGAGGAAUUGCAUCGGAAACUGUGUUUCUUGAGUGCAGAAGAGGAGAGUGGAACUCCAUGUGUAGCGGUGGAAUGCGUAGAUAUAUGGAAGAACACCAGUGGCGAAGGCGGCUCUCUGGUCUGUAACUGACGCUGAGGCUCGAAAGCAUGGGUAGCGAACAGGAUUAGAUACCCUGGUAGUCCAUGCCGUAAACGAUGAGUGCUAAGUGUUGGGAGGUUUCCGCCUCUCA
rnacentral:rRNA from 1 species